rnacentral:misc_RNA from 1 species
UGUAAGCUUUCUGGAUUUGAGACUUGAUCAUUAGAUUCCAAUGGAGGGAUUUCAUCAAAAGCUGUUGAACUAAGAUCGGUUUCGCUGUGGAAGGAACUAUAGGUAGGAGCACCAAAGGGAUCCUGCUCCUUGUCAACCAGAUUCAAAUCUGGUAGGGUUGUAUUUUCCCUAAAAUCAUCACCAUGAAAAGAUAGCUCACUGCCUUUGUCCGUAGUUUUAUCAAUCCCUGAAAACUCAUCUGUCUCACCUAAUCCUUCCAAAUUCAAGCUAUCUUCAUUCUUUCUACUAGAUUUUCCGCCAUGUACAGCAACAGAAUCAGAGUCUACAUUCUCCUUCUCUCCUUGAUCGUCGUGAAUCUCACUCUUAUCAGGUUCCAGUGGCAAAUUCUCGUGCUGACUCGGCGGAAAUACAAAGUGCCUAGACAUAAAAAGAGCACGAGAAGUUUCUGCUUCGUACAAAUUGCUGUUAUUUUCAUCAGACGAUUCAUCUUCCUUCACAUUAGGAGCGGCUUCAUAUGCCGAUGCAGUGAGUGAAACAACUUCCCAUUCAUUUCCACGAGAGUUAUUCUCUUCUCCAUCAUUAUCUGCCAUUCUAAGGGAGUCCUCGUGUAUUCCAACCUCACCGAAUUCGGAGGAGAGAAGAGGCGAUCGGAGAUUGCGACGAACGGCGGCGAGGUGACGAUAAGGAUGAAAGUUGCCUCGGG